AACGAACGCUGGCGGCAUGCCUAACACAUGCAAGUCGAACGAGACCUUCGGGUCUAGUGGCGCACGGGUGCGUAACGCGUGGGAACCUGCCCUUAGGUUCGGAAUAACUCCCCGAAAGGGGUGCUAAUACCGGAUAAUGUCUUCGGACCAAAGAUUUAUCGCCUUUGGAUGGGCCCGCGUUGGAUUAGCUAGUUGGUAGGGUAAAAGCCUACCAAGGCGAUGAUCCAUAGCUGGUCUGAGAGGAUGAUCAGUCACACUGGGACUGAGACACGGCCCAGACUCCUACGGGAGGCAGCAGUGGGGAAUAUUGGACAAUGGGCGAAAGCCUGAUCCAGCAAUGCCGCGUGAGUGAUGAAGGCCUUAGGGUUGUAAAGCUCUUUUACCCGGGAUGAUAAUGACAGUACCGGGAGAAUAAGCUCCGGCUAACUCCGUG
rnacentral:rRNA from 1 species